AGAUGGCGACCGGCGCACGGGUGAGUAACACGUAUCCAACCUGCCGAUAACUCGGGGAUAGCCUUUCGAAAGAAAGAUUAAUACCCGAUGGCAUAAUAGAACCGCAUGGUUUGAUUAUUAAAGAAUUUCGGUUAUCGAUGGGGAUGCGUUCCAUUAGGCAGUUGGUGGGGUAACGGCCCACCAAGUCGACGAUCAGUAGCCGGACUGAGAGGUUGAACGGCCACAUUGGGACUGAGACACGGCCCAGACUCCUACGGGAGGCAGCAUG
rnacentral:rRNA from 1 species